CAGCCGCCACGGUAAAACGUAGGUGGCAAGCGUUGUCCGGAAUUAUUGGGCGUAAAGGGCUCGCAGGCGGUUUCUUAAGUCUGAUGUGAAAGCCCCCGGCUCAACCGGGGAGGGUCAUUGGAAACUGGGAAACUUGAGUGCGGAAGAGGAGAGUGGAAUUCCACGUGUAGCGGUGAAAUGCGUAGAGAUGUGGAGGAACACCAGUGGCGAAGGCGACUCUCUGGUCUGUAACUGACGCUGAGGAGCGAAAGCGUGGGGAGCGAACAGGAUUAGAUACCCCAGUAGUCCCUGUCUCUUAUAC
rnacentral:rRNA from 1 species